AUGACCCUUUUGGAUUUGGUGAAACGGAAAAGAAAAAAAGCGUUAUCUUUUUUGUGGGUUAUUCAAUUCAAUCCUCGAGAGCCCAAAGCUUGCCUUGUGAGCUUAAUUUCUGCUCAUAAUGGCUUGCAUGCUUGCAAAUUCAUUACUCCUAUUCAAGGGCUCUCAUCAGAAACCAGUUGUGAGUAGAAGCAUUGCUGUCCAAUACUCACCGGGAAAAUUUAACCUAAAGGGUGACGGGCUUCUCCAGAAAGGGUUCAGGCAUCAAAGACAUUUUAAUCUUAGGAAUAAAGUUACUGUCAUCCGAGCUGUGGCAAUUCCAGUGGAACCAGCUCCAGCUGAAAGUGCAGAGUACAGAAAACAACUAGCCGAAAGCUACGGUUUUAAGCAAAUUGGAGAGCAGCUUCCAGACAAUGUUACUUUAAAGGAUGUCAUGAAUUCCCUUCCUAAGGAGGUCUUUGAGAUUGACAAUGUGAAAGCAUGGAAAUCUGUUUUGAUAUCUGUCACUUCCUAUGCUCUGGGGCUCUUUAUGAUUUCCAAAGCACCCUGGUAUCUACUUCCUCUGGCUUGGGCAUGGACAGGCACUGCAAUAACUGGGUUCUUUGUUAUAGGACAUGAUUGCGCUCACAAAUCUUUUUCAACGAACAAAUUGGUAGAAGACAUUGUUGGAACUCUGGCCUUCUUGCCAAUAAUUUAUCCAUAUGAGCCAUGGCGAUUCGAGCAUGACAAGCAUCACGCAAAAACAAACAUGUUGUAUGAAGAUACUGCGUGGCACCCUGUUUGGAAGGAUGAGUUUGAUUCAUCUCCACUUUUGAGGAAAGCAAUAAUAUAUGGAUACGGUCCAGUUCGAUGUUGGAUGUCUAUAGCUCACUGGUUGAUGUGGCACUUCGAUUUGAAGAAGUUCAGACCAAAUGAAGUAAAGAGGGUGAAGAUAAGUUUAGCUUAUGUUUUUGCCUUUAUAGCAAUUGGAUGGCCAUUAAUUAUUUACAACACUGGAAUCAUGGGAUGGAUAAAAUUCUGGUUGAUGCCAUGGUUGGGCUAUCACUUCUGGAUGAGUACUUUCACCAUGGUACAUCAUACUGCACCGCACAUACCAUUCAAAUAUUCAGAAGAAUGGAAUGCUGCUAAAGCACAGCUAAAUGGAACUGUUCACUGUGAUUACCCUCAAUGGAUCGAGAUCCUAUGCCAUUAUAUUAAUGUCCAUAUUCCGCACCACAUAUCCCCGAGAAUACCAAGCUAUAAUUUACGAGCAGCUCAUAAGUCUCUCCAAGAAAAUUGGGGAAAGUAUCUAAAUGAGGCAAGUUGGAAUUGGCGAUUGAUGAAGACAAUCAUGACAGUGUGUCACGUGUACGAUAAGAAGCAAAAUUAUGUUGCCUUCGAUGAACUUGCCCCCGAAGAAUCUCGUCCAAUUACAUUUUUGAGGGAAGUCAUGCCUGAUUAUGCUUAAUUAGGUCCAACCUGGCUUAUUCUCAUAUGAAAUUUUAUGUGUCAAAGUAGUUCACGUUUCAGGGUAAAUCAUGUUACCCAGUUGCGGAUUAUCCAAGGGCAAACCCCUGAGAAGCAUUCAUUAGGUUAAAAGUAGAUGUUAUAGUAAUAUUAACAGCGAGAUUCUUGUUAGAUGAUCACGUUGGAGGAAUAUUAUAUUAUACAUAUACAGUUGUCUAACGGAUAAAAAACCACGAGGAGUGUAGCACAGUGGUUUGAGCCUAAUACUGAGUCCUGACAAUGUUUUCUCAUUGCAGGGUGUCUUUUGAUUGUAUGUUGCUGACAUUUAAGUAUUUAUUUUCUUUUUUGGUCUUAUGAAAAGUCCAUAU